rnacentral:rRNA from 1 species
CCUACGGGUGGCAGCAGUGAGGAAUAUUGGUCAAUGGACGAGAGUCUGAACCAGCCAAGUCGCGUGAAGGAUGAAUGCCCUAUGGGUUGUAAACCUCUUUUAUAGGGGAAUAAAGUGUUCCACGUGUGGGAUUUUGUAUGUACCCGCUGAAUAAGGAUCGGCUAACUCCGUGCCAGCAGCCGCGGUAAUACGGAGGAUGCGAGCGUUAUCCGGAUUUGUGGGGUUUAAAGGGAGCGUAGGUGGAUGGUUAAGUCAGUUGUGAAAGUUUGCGGCUCAACCGGAAAAUGGCCGUUGAAACUGGCAGUCUUGAGUGAGGUAGAGGUGGGCGGAAUGCGUGGUGUAGCGGUGAAAUGCAUAGAGAUCACGAAGAACUCCGAUUGCGAAGGCAGCUUACUG